CAAACUCCAAACCGACCGACUAUUUGCUGUAUGAUAAUUUUUGAAACCGUAAACCGAUCGCUUUUUGCCAUUUACCGAUUGCGGUAAACCACAAAAGCGGUCGGUUAUUAGAGGUUUAAAACCGCAAGUUUUUUUUGUAUCAUAAAAAUCCAGUCUUCCACAUUUUAGGCCUAAUUUUGAUGCUUCUUUUGAAGCCUUUUGAUUUCAAGCAUACUUUAACCCAAAAAUAUAAAUUCAC
rnacentral:lncRNA from 1 species